UCGGGCUGUAGCAAUACAGUGCCGGCGAGCGGCGGACGGGUGAGGAAUACAUCGGAAUCUACCUUGUCGUGGGGGAUAACGUAGGGAAACUUACGCUAAUACCGCAUACGAACUACGGUUGAAAGCGGAGGACCGCAAGGCUUCGCGCGAUUGGAUGAGCCGAUGUCGGAUUAGCUAGUUGGCGGGGUAAUGGCCCACCAAGGCGACGAUCCGUAGCUGGUCUGAGAGGAUGAUCAGCCACACUGGAAUUGAGACACGGUCCAGACUCCUACGGGAGGCAGCAGUGGGGAAUAUUGGACAAUGGGCGCAAGCCUGAUCCAGCCAUGCCGCGUGUGUGAAGAAGGCCUUCGGGUUGUAAAGCACUUUUGUUCGGGAAGAAAAGCUACCGGUUAAUACCCGGGAGUCAUGACGGUACCGAAAGAAUAAGCACCGGCUAACUUCGUGCCAGCAGCCGCGGUAAUACGAAGGGUGCAAGCGUUACUCGGAAUUACUGGGCGUAAAGCGUGCGUAGGUGGUGC
rnacentral:rRNA from 1 species